CAGGGAAUAGUUUAUUUAAAAAAUAUUAAUUUUGGGAAUUAAUGAAGAAGUUAAUCUUUUUCUCUGA
rnacentral:tRNA from 1 species